rnacentral:rRNA from 1 species
AGUGAACGCUGGCGGUAGGCCUAACACAUGCAAGUCGAACGGCAGCACAGUAAGAGCUUGCUCUUACGGGUGGCGAGUGGCGGACGGGUGAGGAAUACAUCGGAAUCUGCUUUUUCGUGGGGGAUAACGUAGGGAAACUUACGCUAAUACCGCAUACGACCUACGGGUGAAAGCAGGGGAUCUUCGGACCUUGCGCGAUUGAAUGAGCCGAUGUCGGAUUAGCUAGUUGGCGGGGUAAAGGCCCACCAAGGCGACGAUCCGUAGCUGGUCUGAGAGGAUGAUCAGCCACACUGGAACUGAGACACGGUCCAGACUCCUACGGGAGGCAGCAGUGGGGAAUAUUGGACAAUGGGCGCAAGCCUGAUCCAGCCAUACCGCGUGGGUGAAGAGGGCCUUCGGGUUGUAAAGCCCUUUUGUUGGGAAAGAAAAGCAGCAGGUUAAUACCCCGCUGUUCUGACGGUACCCAAAGAAUAAGCACCGGCUAACUUCGUG